rnacentral:lncRNA from 1 species
UGAUAACUGAGGAUCUCUUCCCUUGCAGCCCCCAGAGGUACUCACCUGUGGGAGUUCAUCCGGGACAUUCUUAUCCACCCUGAGCUCAACGAAGGCCUCAUGAAAUGGGAGAACCGGCACGAGGGCGUUUUCAAGUUUCUUCGUUCAGAGGCUGUGGCCCAACUAUGGGGCCAAAAGAAGAAGAAUAGCAACAUGACCUAUGAGAAGCUGAGCCGGGCCAUGAGGUACUACUACAAACGGGAGAUCCUGGAACGGGUGGAUGGCCGUCGGCUCGUCUACAAGUUUGGCAAGAACUCCAGUGGCUGGAAGGAAGAAGAGGUUGGAGAGAGUCAGAAUUAAGGGUCAGGGCUGGCCCCGGACCUGAUUCAGGCAUGAACUCCAGAACUGAAGCCUUCCUGGAAGGACAGGCAGGCCUGAAGGCCCCUCGAUGUGGAUGUGUUUCCCUGUGUGCUGCAGAGAGGAGGAACCUGUUGGGUGUGGCCUCUGCAGUAUCCUGAGCCUUUGGCCUCUCCUCGCCCUCUUGGGAUUACGAGCCCCCGGGUUUGACUUCACAAACUCUCCAGCUGUGAAUCCAGUUCCUUCCAGUCCCAACGUUGACUGCAGAAGAGAUUCACCUGCAGAUGCCUGGGCUCAGCCAAGGAGGCUGGAGAGACUGUGGGAGGAGACUACAGGGACAGAGGGGACAGGAUUGUGUUCUCUAGAGCUUCUUGGACUGGCUUCCACCUCUCUGCUCAGUACUCAGGCUCCACAGACACAGGGGUCAGAGCAACCCUAAUUUAUGUGCUAUAAAUAUUCCAGGUGUAUAUAGAGAGCUAUUUUUUCUAAAGCGUUUCCCCCUCCCUGUUCUUCUC